rnacentral:rRNA from 1 species
AGUGAACGCUGGCGGUAGGCCUAACACAUGCGAGUCGAACGGCAGCACAGUAAGAGCUUGCUCUUACGGGUGGCGAGUGGCGGACGGGUGAGGAAUACAUCGGAAUCUACUUUUUCGUGGGGGAUAACGUAGGGAAACUUACGCUAAUACCGCAUACGACCUACGGGUGAAAGCAGGGGAUCUUCGGACCUUGCGCGAUUGAAUGAGCCGAUGUCGGAUUAGCUAGUUGGCGGGGUAAAGGCCCACCAAGGCGACGAUCCGUAGCUGGUCUGAGAGGAUGAUCAGCCACACUGGAACUGAGACACGGUCCAGACUCCUACGGGAGGCAGCAGUGGGGAAUAUUGGACAAUGGGCGCAAGCCUGAUCCAGCCAUACCGCGUGGGUGAAGAAGGCCUUCGGGUUGUAAAGCCCUUUUGUUGGGGAAGAAAAGCAGCAGGUUAAUACCCCGCUGUUCUGACGGUACCCAAAGAAUAAGCACCGGCUAACUUCGUG